UACAGAGGGUGCAAACGUUGUUCGGAAUUACUGGGCGUAAAGCGCGUGUAGGCGGCUAAGUAAGUCGGGCGUGAAAUCCCACGGCUCAACCGUGGAAGUGCACUCGAAACUGCAUAGCUAGAGUCCUGGAGAGGAAGGUGGAAUGCUUGGUGUAGAGGUGAAAUUCGUAGAUAUCAAGCGGAACACCGGUGGCGAAGGCGGCCUUCUGGACAGUGACGUGACGCUGAGACGCGAAAGCGUGGGGAGCAAACAGGG
rnacentral:rRNA from 1 species